rnacentral:tRNA from 2 species
GCGGGUGUGGCGGAAUUGGCAGACGCACCAGAUUUAGGUUCUGGCGGGCGACCGUGGGGGUUCGAGUCCCUUCACCCGCA